GGGGAGCGAAGCCUGUCCGGCGGUGGCGGCGGGAGCAGAGUGCCGGAGGCAGGACCCAAGGGGGGCGGACGCGCCGGAGAAAAGCCCGGAGGGGAGAAAGUUCGGGUCGCUGCAGUAGUGGAAAUCUGUGAACGGAAUCCCGGAGUUUGGAGGCGGGGGGAGUAAGUCGGGAGUGCUGGGAGACGGGGAAAGAAGUCCAAAUGUAAAGUACAGAGUGACUCAUGAGAUGGUAAAAGCCCUCAGGUCCCUGUGGAACUCUUAACCAGAGUGCCUGCUGGAAACAGAGAGCAGAGAUGUACUGGAGAUGGUUGCUGAAGGGUUUUGGCAUCCUCAUUAUCACAAGUUCCCUGCUGGCAUUGGGAAUUACAC
rnacentral:lncRNA from 1 species